rnacentral:rRNA from 1 species
AAAUUUUUGAAGUUAUUUUAGCUUUUUUGUUGGGUGAAAUCAGUAUAAAGAGUUUUUCCUUCUUUAAAAAUUAAUAGGAAUUAAAAAACUCUGAUUUAAAACCAGGAUUAGAUACCCUGUUAUUCUGAGUUAUAUUUAGACAGGGUAGUAAAAGUUGUUCUUCAAACCCAAAGAUUUUGGCGGCACUUUAUCCAAAUAGAGGAGCUUGCCCCUUAAUCGAUAGUCCCCGUUUUAUCUUUCCUCUGUUUGUAGAGCUUGUAUACCGCCGUUGUCAGAUUACUUCUAGAGAAUGUUUUCAAAUUAAAAGAUUUUUUUACUUCAGGUCAAGGUGCAGUUUAUAUAGAGGUGAAGGUGAGCUACAAUUUUCUUUACAAAUAUGGAUACUAAGCCUCGAAGCUGGUUGAAGGUGGAUUUAUUAGUAAAGUAA